GGUUGGAUCCCUGCUUGAGCAGCGACGUCCACCCAUGCAUGCCCCUUCACUCGUUGGCCCAAGAGCGAUGAGCCUUGGCCGUGUGUUGAUUUCCUGUGUUGCAUACCUACUUAGAUGGAAUUCGUGCGUUGUAUCUUGUUAAUGUUCGCCUUGUGCUACCCCUGCCGGGUGUGGCUUCGGGUGAACCUUGAAGCAAUCUUUGCGUUCCGCGACACGGUAUGAAUAUGUCGUUGGCGCGGCCCGUGAAGCAUUGCUUGGACUCUCGGAUGCGGAAUAUGCGGAGGGUAGGAGGUCACCGGCCUCUAUUUGCCCGAAUUAAGCAUUAGUUGGUUGUUACCGAACGACUGCCGUCGUUGCGUUGAGGCGUCGGGGCCCUCGGGUUUUGGCGUCCUCAUGUUGCGCCGGCGUCUGUGAGGAAUGCUACCUGGUUGAUCCUGCCAGUAGUC
rnacentral:misc_RNA from 1 species